GAUGAACGCUAGCUACAGGCUUAACACAUGCAGGUCGAGGGGUAACGAGAGGAAAGCUUGCUUUCCUUGUCGACGACCGGCGCACGGGUGAGUAACGCGUAUCCAACCUGCCCCCAACUAGGGAAUAACCUUGCGAAAGUAAGACUAAUACCCUAUAAUUUCCUCAGAUGUCAUCUGACGAGGAAUAAAGAUUUAUCGGUUGUGGAUGGGGAUGCGUCUGAUUAGCUUGUUGGCGGGGUAACGGCCCACCAAGGCAACGAUCAGUAGGGGUUCUGAGAGGACGGUCCCCCACAUUGGAACUGAGACACGGUCCAAACUCCUACGGGAGGCAGAAGUGAGGAAUAUUGGUCAAUGGGCGGAAGCCUGAACCAGCCAAGUAGCGUGCAGGAUGACGGCCCUAUGGGUUGUAAACUGCUUUUAUACAGGAAUAAAGUUAGCCACGUGUGGUUAUUUGUAGGUACUGUAUGAAUAAGGACCGGCUAAUUCCGUGCCAGCCGCCGCCGUAA
rnacentral:rRNA from 1 species